UGGGGAAUUUUGGACAAUGGGGGCAACCCUGAUCCAGCAAUGCCGCGUGUGUGAAGAAGGCCUUCGGGUUGUAAAGCACUUUUGUCAGGGAAGAAACGGCUGGGGCUAAUACCUCUAGCUAAUGACGGUACCUGAAGAAUAAGCACCGGCUAACUACGUGCCAGCAGCCGCGGUAAUACGUAGGGUGCAAGCGUUAAUCGGAAUUACUGGGCGUAAAGCGUGCGCAGGCGGUUUUGCAAGACAGAUGUGAAAUCCCCGGGCUCAACCUGGGAAUGGCAUUUGUGACUGCAAGGCUAGAGUGUGUCAGAGGGGGGUAGAAUUCCACGUGUAGCAGUGAAAUGCGUAGAGAUGUGGAGGAAUACCGAUGGCGAAGGCAGCCCCCUGGGAUAACACUGACGCUCAUGCACGAAAGCGUGGGGAGCAAACAGGAUUAGAUACCCCCGUAGUCCCUGAGCGGGCUGGCAAGGCGCAU
rnacentral:rRNA from 1 species